UUUUUUUUUUUUUUUGCCAAAUGCAUAUCAACCAACCAGCGGACAUCUCUAGCAAUUUCCAACUUUGAAGCUGAUGGUGCAGAAACUUGAUAUUAACCGACAAAUACCCCUUUCCAUUUUCUUCAUGUCUUUAUCUACUUAAAACACUUCUCGGGGGAGACGCGCAAAUGGCUGGUAUUAACUGAGCAACUUCUUUGUACAUUUGUUCCAAUAAGACUUCUUUGUUAGGGAAGGCUAUCUUCAAUGCAAGUGCAUACGAGCAUCAAACAUGGUACAAAAUCAAAGAUAACACUUUUCCAAAAUAGCGUAUGUGAUACGAGGAAGAGAAUGUACAAACUAAAUAUUUCCCUUAUCUUUCUUUAUAUAUGAGCGACAGCGUGCUUCAAACAAGCUGAAGAAAAGAUAACUACAAUAAAAAUGUUCUCGUAAUCAAGUUCCUGUGAUUGAUACUAACAUCCAAUUGCCUCUUCAGUUCUACCGUUCAUGAGAAUGGGAUAUUUGAUGGCCCACAAACAGGAUACCCAGCCAUUCUCUUAAUAGUCAUCAAUUCCAAGAAAAGAAAUGAAUGAAAUAAUGCUAUUACGGAUCCAUUGCCUUGCCAGCCAAUUUCACAGCCGUUCGUUGCACAGCAGUUGCAAUGACAAUGAACUUCCUGUUCGAAAUCCACCUUCAAUUUCUUCAUAGACUAGAGGGAGAUGGUGGUCUUGCCUUUUCACCCUCGAAGAGGGUAAUGAUGAAGUUAUGGUCAUUAACUGCUGGUGCUGAAGCCAAUGCUGAUGCUGGUGUUGAGAGUUUGUGGAAUACUUGGGCCUAAGUACUUCCAGUGAUGUGGGGGCAGGUGAUAUCAGGGACUGCGGACAUGGGAUCAGUGUAGGGUCCUGUCUCCCAUUUGGCCAAUUUGAAAAUUGGCUCAUCGCUGUGGAAUGUCCAGUAGGUCUGUAUUGAGCAGCUAGCUGAGCCGGCCAAAGCUGUUGCUGCUGCUGCUGGUGUUGUUUUGUCAAGAUUGUGGAACUUGUAUGAGCUGGGCCUAGGAACGGGCUGCUAAGAUAUGAAGGUAAUUGCAAUUUGACCUACAAAUAAAAAUUACAGCCUAACAUAAUUAGAGAUUUUUUAUGUCAUGGCAACUUGCAAAGCGAUAUAUGCAGCAAAAGACGCAGAUCAACCAUACUUCAGUAGUUGUCUAUUACCAAUGGCUAAGGAUGAAAAAUGCUUACAGAAACAAGCUAAUGAAAGAAGUUGGAGAAAAAAAUCUGGCUUGGAUUGAGGUAAUCCAUAACAUAACAGUAACAAAGCAAAAGGAAGGAAUCAAGAAAAAACCUGCUGUGUUGAUCCAGUUCCAGAUGUAGAAAUUUUAUCCGGGUAUGAAGAGGUGUAGUGAGUCUGGGGCAUUGCAAUUGGCAUGAAGUUCUGAUGUUGUGGAAGAGAAUGAAGAUGAGAAACUUGAAAUUCUGACGAUGGUUCUAAUGCAUUAUUUCUGGUUCUGCUAAAGCUGUUUGUAUCUUCUGCUCCCAAGCCGCCAGCUGACAAAGACAAAAAGUUGAAACUCUACAAGAAAAACAAAUUGAUCAGGACAUUGGGAAGGGGAAAACAAUCAUCUAUGCCAACAUAAAUUGUAGAGCUUACUUGCUUCUGCAAAGUCUGUAACCCAGAUUCUGUAGCAGUCUGUAGCUGAUCAUGAUGAAGCCUCUUGUGCUGAAGAAUACCACUUCUAGCUUCACUUGAAUUUCUUUCAGCAGUAGUACUACCAAUACUGUUAACAGAUAUGACUCCAUUUAAACCUUUUCUCGUCUUAUCAAAGUCAUAAAUCACCAUAUGUGUUUCUUGCCUUUGUCCUUCAUCUGGUGGUUUCAAUUGAUUACACUGUAGAUGUGACUUUUCUUUAUUCUCUGGCAUUUGUAAAUCUCGAAUCAGACGGCUGAUGUAAACAUGGCCAGCACACCUCUUUAGAGACCUAUUAGUGGUGGCCCCUUUAAAAACCUGUAUAGUUUAUAGUCCACCAGACACUCAGUGAGAUGCUCAAGAAAGUACACAAGCAUUGCGAAGUUUGGAGUAAAAUCUACCUUUCUGGUUGAAGGACCAUUUUCUAAAGAAUAAGGCUUGGAGGCACCAACAGCGGCAUCCAGCCAAGCUGGAAUUUUGGUAGACCUGCAAUGACUACAUGAAUGAGACAAUAGAUAGAAGGUAUAUAUGAAGGUCUAAACUCAUAAGAACUAAGACAAUUACUGCAAAGAAGGUCCAGAACUCCCAGCACCAAGCAACACCAUUGGAGACAAUCCCGGCCACAAUGCAAGGCCUUUAAACAAAGAAUAUGCCAGUGUCAGCCUAUAAUAUCCAAUAGUAUACAAAACAACCAUGUUUGACAAACUAGGCGGAAAAAAACAGGCCACAAUACACUAUCAAGAAGUAUACCAUUUCUCCAGGACUCCGUGGCCGUAUCUUGUUGCACUUGUUCACUUCUGAGGGUGGUGGACUUAAAAAAUAAAGCAAAGCCUCCAUUUUAGUAGCAGUUCAAUCGCUAAAGGAAAUAUUGUUCUAGGCUUGAAACUAAUGCUUACCCCAACUGCAAGCUCAGGUUUUCCUGUAAGUGAGGUCUCCUGAGUCGACUGCUCUAAACUACUUCAGGACAGACAACACAGAGAACUAAAUUAAUAACAGGACAACUGAAAAGAAACAGGAGCACCAGAAUUGAUUAAAAAAGAACCCACCCAGAAUCCCGACAUGGCUCAGGCAAAACCUGAAAAGUUACAGGAUUGCACAACGGCUCAUCACUGUUAUGUUCCCUCUUAGCCAAUAGAGGCAUUGUGCUGUGCACAUUUACCGGAGGAACACAACUAUCAGUUUUCACGUGGAAACUUUUACUGUCAGGUUUUUCUUCUACUUCAGCACUGGUUUUAGCAGUUUCUUUCUGUGAACUUUCUACAUUAGAUAAAGGGGCAGCCUCAGAAGUUCUCAAGGGGAAGGUUGAGCCCAACUCCUCCUUGGUAACUGCAGAAUCUAAUGAGAACAUACAACUUAAGAAAGAAACAAACUGGAAAAAAAAAUGUAAUCACUAGAAGAAGCAAUAGGUGGAAAAAAACUAAUAUUACCUUUAACUGCAGGUGUACAGCUCUCCCUAUGUUCUCGCAAAGCUGGAGGCUUUGCUUCUGAAGGAGAACUCUCCAAUUUACUAUUAUUCACACUAUCAUUUUCAGGGAACAUUCCUGCCAUAGCAUAUAAGGUCUCCACAACUUCUUCUUCAUCUUUAGUGAUUGGCCCAAUAACCUCCUUCUGGGACCAGUCCGAGCUUCCUUGUUUCUACAAAAGCAAUCCCGUCAAUAUAAAUUGAAAUGCUCAGCCAAAAGAAUAUGAAUUUUGAAAUGGUCAGCUGGAGAUAACUGACAACAAUGUUCAGCUUGGACUUCUUUAGGCCAUCCUUUUUGAGUGAUUCCAUUUCACCUACUGUAUGGUUCAGCUUCUUUGAAUCUGGUAAAGGUGGAGACAUAGAUUCGGGAUUUCGCUUCUUCACCGCUGUAAGAGUUAAAUCCAAAUUUCUCAUACAUUAUUAAUACUUCAAAAUAUUCUUUUUCUUUCCCUUCAAAUAAACAAACAUUUUUUGUUUUCCAUAGAAAGUUAAAAGUAUUUCCCUUCAAAAAGUAGCUUCAGAACAACAGGAGGCAAAAAUCUCAAAUACAAUAUUAUUAUUUCAAAAGAAUCAAUGCACCAUCAAAGUAGCAACACCAGUGUAUUAAGUAUAAUUAAAAAAUAAAAACAAACAAAAUUCUGCUUACACGGGAAAAAAAGGGGGGAAAGAAAAGAAAAGCAAAAAAGGCUUCAUUUUGCUUAAGUCGUAAUCCAAAAUCCAAAUCACUAAGCAAAACCGAAAAAAGGAAACUUCCCGGAAGACCCACUAAAUAGAACAUGAUAUUUAAACCGGUAACACUUUAACUAUUAGCCCCACAACUAACAGAAAAAGUAGGGGAAAAAAAAAAUAAUUGUAUUUAAAAAAAAAAAAUUUGAGAUAUAAAAUGAAAAAUUUAUCAUUCUUGAUUCACAAACAACAUACCUGAACGUAGCUUACGCGGAAUGGAGGAAUGAUCAACACCAUUGCAGUCAUCAAAAAGCUGGAAAAAAGAAAUCGAAAAUUAAAUAAACAGAAAAUUAAAAUUAAAAAAUUAAAAGAAAAGUAAAAUUAAACAUACCUUUUUAGGUAGUUUAAAUCUUUUGGCAGUAGCACUACUCAUUGAAGACUGAGAUUGUGAAGGAGUUUCAUUUUCUCUAUCAGACAAAUUAUUACUAUGAUAUCCCAUUUCAGAAUCUUCGAAACUCGAAAUCACAGCUUUAUUAACAACAACACUUAAUUUUUUAACAAGUCUCUCCUUCUUCGGUUUCUCCAAACCUUCAAAAAAAAAUAAAAAUAAUAACUAAAAACAAAGGAGAUAAAACAAAAAACAGGCAUUAUCUGAAAAACUCUUAUCGCCAAAAACACGCGAAGAGAGGAAGAACGUACACAAAAGAAGACGACAAAUGAGGGGUUUUGUUUGCUUGUUUGUUUUGGUUUUGGUUUUGGUUUUGGAAAUAGAAAAAAUAAAAGAGGAGAGUAUAGUAAAUUCAUACCUGCUAAGAGCUUCUGUCGCGAAAACCGACUGCUCCCUCCUCGCCUCACGUCUCGAGUCUUGUCCAUUUCUGUAUUCACACAAUUUUUAAGACAACACUAACAUCAACAGCAUCUGCUCUCACUCACGCCCUCCAAUUCGAUCUAUAAUCCAAUCAAAACGCAUUAAAAUAUAAGAAAAAUGAGAUUCAAAGAGCUUCGGUUUGUUUUUUUUUUUCUCAAACUUUAGAGGAGAGAAAGUGAAAGGAAAAACAAAAGUGGCGUUUGAGAUUUCUAAAGAGAGAGAGAAUCAAUUUUAGUUGCCAGAUAUUUCUCCGCUGCUUUCUCUGUGUGUGUGUGAGUUUUGAGUAGUUUUAGUUCUAGCUGCUCAGAAAAAUUAGCGAGAGAGAUGAGAUGAGAUGAGAUGAGACAAAAAGCUUCAUAUUAGAAAAAAAGUUGAAAAAAAUAAAAGGAAGGAAAGAAAAGAGAAAAGUAAUUCGUUCCUCGUGUUCAGAGAAUCAGGUUCUUCGUGAAAUAAAGCAAAUUAAAGAGAAAAAAUUAAAAGAAAUGAAAAAUGUGAAGCAAUUGCAGCAAAGUGACAAUUUAACAACCUUCAUUUAAUUCUCGAAGACAAUUAAGAGAGUUGAUUCAUUUCUCUCUCUCUCUCUAUCUUCUGUUAAAAGCUCUCACACACAACACAAACUCCCAAGAGACGGAAAGCCCGAAGCUUUCGCUCUGUUAAAUCGCCUUUUAAAUGCAUCAGAAAAACGGCCAUUCUUUUUCCUUUUCUCUCACUUCACACUCAUUUGUACACAAGUCCCAUUCCCACGUCAUUCCACCAUCCACGGUCCCUAUUCUCUCUCCUCUCACAGCCGUCGGAUCUUCUUUGAUGGCUUAGACCAUCAAGUCUCACGUGUCAGCCACGUCGGAUUUUAUAAACCUUGUUUACCUGUCCACGUUGCACUCUCCAUGCAUCAUCCGAAGGCUCGUUAUCAAACGGCUGUGGUGAAACUCUCGUCUUUCUCACUGUCUGGACGGAAGUCUUUUUAAUCACAGUAACUGAAACAAAACAAACGACUCUCUUUCAUCAACGGCCAUUAUGGCAAAUCUCAUGGAUGUUCGACACGUUUCAUCCACAGGUCUCCGUACUACCAGAGACUGUUCACUGUUACAAGAGAAAAUAUUCUGUACCUUUUAAUGACUUUUCACCAGUUUCUUAAAGAAACUAGUAUUAGAUUUGGUGCAUUUGCAUGUGCUGUAGUCAACACGCGCCAGUAACUCCCGAGUGCGGAGCAGAAGAGUGAUUUACGAUUUUCAUUUGUUUGAUGUUGCUGUUCACGCGCCGGAGGGAGAGUGAAAUUGUAGGCCAGUAAAAUAAUGGUAAUCUCACUGGUAACGCUGAAAUCCGCAAAGCGGAUUCUAGAGAAAGUUUGGCAGUCACGAGAAAGGAUGGGCAGAGGGUGUUGAACUCGGCGAUUAAUUGCUGAGUUUACGGCGAGUGUUUGAUGAGGAUGGAGGAAUGUGAUGAUUUGAUUCUGUGCACCUCGGCGUGGCAGGGUCAUGCAUGCUGCGUGACUCCUAGUUCCAAGUCCAAUCACGUUGCUUCAGUUCUAAUUACCAAAACACCCUUUGCUAUGUUCAGAAUUACGUGCUUGUAGCUCCUAGUCCUGUGUGAAGCUCGCCGGCUCCUAUCUAUCAUCUAAAAAGAAUCGGUGAACCACCUCUCUUCGAUUUAAAAUGAACGUUUUGAUUUUUACGUUGAACAGGUGAAGGUUUUGCUUUGAAAGAGAUAAUAACUGGAUCGAUGAAAGAAUUUAUUUAUAUAUGCAUGCAACUGCCAUUAAUUUAUUUUCGCGAAUUAUGUCUUAGGUGUACAGCAAAUAGAUGGACAAAGCCCAAAAUAUAUUUUUAAAAGAUUUAAACUUGAUGCCCAGCUUAAAAAAAAUUGCUUAAAAUGCAUCGGGCUGGCACACCGGCGUGGAAUGUAUAUGUGUGUACAUGUGUGUUAAUGAAAGGUCUUAAUAGUUCUUUUACGUGGAAGUAUGAAGGAAACUUUUAAGGGAAAAGUGGAAAUUGGGGCCCAUCAUUGAUUUAUAGCAACGUUUGGAGUUUUUUAACACCUUCGAAAAAUGCUUCUUCUUCUUUUUUUAACAAGAGAUUAAAUUAUGAAACGAUACUUAGGAUAGCCCCAAGUAUCGUCAAAUAACUUUUUUCUAAUAUCUAUUGGUGGUUCAUCCCACCAAGUAUACAUGGAACAAGAUAAAUCCAAGUUAGCCAAGCAAUCCGCUACAUAAUUUUCUUCUCGAAAAAAACGGGAGCAUCUAAAAAUCAUAUUUUUAAUCAAGCUACGACAAUUAAUCCAUCUAAUUUUCUUCUCGAAAAAAAUGAGAGCAUCUAAAAAUCAUAUUUUUAAUCAAGCUAUGACAAUUAAUCCAUCUAUUACGAAUGCACCAUGGAGGAGCAAAUCUAAGAUUUUGGAGACAAAAUAGUGCAGCAGCAAACAUAUUACCAUCCUCUAUUAGCUGCUUCUUCAAUAGCCAUAAUGAUACCAAAUAUUUCAGCAUAAAAUGAAGAAUGAAAGCCUAAAGGCAUUGCGAAGCAUCCUUUAAAGGCCCCAUUAAAUCCCCUGAAAACAACACCACAAGCUGCCUCUCCCGGAUUUCCUUUAGUAAGGCCAUCAGUAUUAAUUUUAACCCAAAGAAUUAGAGGAGGAUGCCAAAAGACUGAAACUACCUUUGGAGCACGUCGCAACAGCUUCUUUAUGCCCAAUAUAUCAUAACUUGGAACUUGGGUAGCUACGUGUCCUGGACAAUAAGAGCUCAGUAAAAUAAUGUGAGAAGAAAUGACAGCCUUUAAAUGAGACAAUGAAAACUCACGAUUUUCAAAGCGUAAUAAGUUCUAGGGAUGGCAAUGGGGAGGGGAGGGGAGGGAAGGGGACCAAUCUCCCCGUACCUAUCCCCGAUAUUUUGCGUAUGUCCCCGUCCCUGUCAGAAUUACUUGAGAGAAUCCUCAUCCCCUCCCCGAAUAAUAACAGGGGAUCUCCAAGGGUCUCCGAUCCCCGAAUAACUAAUACAUUUUUUUGUUUUUGAUUUUGAGUUAAUCAUAUUAAAAUAAAAAAUUCAAAUAAAAGUAAAGUUUGAAAUAUAUCUUACAUUAAUAUCCAUUACAAAAGUCACAUACAUUAAAUUAGUAAGUAAUGCAGCAUGUAAGGGAUACAAACUUCUUUUACAAACUAUCGUGAAUAAAUUAAUAGUUUAAUACAAAAUUGUUACAAAUAAAAUCGAAUUUAUAUUCAAAAUUAAUUUUUUCAAUGGUGGUCUAGCACUUUAUAAAUGUGGAUUAUUCCUUUUACAACACAAUAGUUAAGUCGGAGCAAAUCAAGAGUAAAUAUUAGAUUAAAUUAAAUUAGAUAUUAAAAUUGUGAUUCGUUGUGGGCAAUUAUAACAUCUAAAAAAAACGGCCAAGGCGGAUGUACGGUACAGCAGUAAUGAAUAUUAAAAUUAAAACAAAAUUUUUGGGCUAAUAGAAUUUACCCUUUUUUUUAAUGUCAUAAAUAAAAAUUUAGGACUUUAAUUAGUUAAUUAGGCCUAAAAGUUUAAUAAUAUAAAUAUUUUGAUAUUUGUUAUUUUUACCAAUAUUUAUAAUUUUAUUAUUUAUUCACUAGUGAUUUUAAAAAAUUAAAAUAAAAUUAAAAAUUAAAAUGGGGAAAUGGGUAGGGGAUGGGGAUUCCACCUCAUCCCUGUCCCCUGCCCGAAUAAGAAAUUGGGUAAAAAAAAUUUCCCGUCCCUUCUCCGAAUAAGAAAUUGGGUAUGAAAUUAUCCUCAUACCCUCCCCGAAUGGGGAAAAUCCCAGUAUCCGUCCCCGUGGGGAUUUUUGCCAUCCCUAAUAAGUUUCGAGCUUUCCACAAAUAAUAAAAUAGGAUGAAACAAGCUAUGUGCCAGAGGGAGACUGUAUGAUGAGAAAAUCUAUCAUCAAGAAUUAACUUUCGUAAACUCACAAGGUCUCCAUCCAUGGGAAAUGUGACUCUAAAUAAAGAAGUGAGUCAACCCCAAAGCUAUUGAGAGAACCUGCAUAGGAAAAAUAAGUGGGCAGUCGUUCCAUCAGAUUGCAAGCAAAAAGGGCAAGAUGAGACGACGCAUAACCCACGUAAACGCAGCUGAUCAUCGGUUGGAACUCUAUUAUGAAACAGCCUCUGAGCAAACAUAGAGUAUUUUGGAAGAAUAAAAGAUGACCACAAGCAUUUGUUCUAGGGGUAGACUACACGGUUGCCAAGUAAAAAAUGAUAAGUUUCUGCCAAAGUAAGAUCACCAUUUGCUAAGUGGCACCACACCAUCUUAUCUUCGGUGUCAACUACGAGCAGCUCUGUAUUUUUUAUAUCUGAAAAAUCCUUAUUAACACCUCUUUUGGAUUUUAUCCCUAAGAUACCCUAGCUUAAUUUACAAAGCGCUAACUCACAAAUUACAAUCAAUCAUCUUCUUAUUAAAUUUCAUCCUAAAAAUAUAUUUCUUUUAAGCUUUUAUUUAUAAAUACAUAUAAAUCUUAAAUUGUUUUCUUAUUGUAACAUAAUUUCUAUCAUCAUAAUUCUUAAUUCUUAAAAGUUUCUCAAAAGAAUAUUUUUAAUUCAAAUUUCAAAUAUAAAUGUAAAAAUAAAUUAUGAAAUUGGGUGGGUGAAAAAAAUAUUAAGUGAAUAGUUUAUUUAAGAGUUCAAUUAAAUUUUUAUUCAAGAAAAAAAUUGAAUUAAUUUAUCUUUGGUUAUUUGUGUAAUGUCAAUUAAAGAAGAGUUUGACAAGGAAUUUAUAAGAGUGCAAAAGGUCUUCUCUUAUAGCAGACCCAUGGAUCAUGGCUAUACAUUUGAAAAGAGUAAUGAUAUUUUACCCCUUCAAUUUCUCUCAUUAAUUCUUUUUUUUUUUUUAACCUAAAGUGAAUAAAAUUUACCCCUUCAAUUUCUCUCAUUAAUUCUUUUUUUUUUUUUAACCUAAAGUGAAUAAAAUAUCCAUGACAUAGAUUUUUUAGAUUAAAGAUUGAAGAUUAGCAUAUUUUCUAGCAUUUUCCCCUUGUUGACGACAAGGGGAUAUUUAACUUCGUUUUAUCCGUAUUUGUAAAUUCAGCCCGAUCAUCCACGUGCAUUGUCGCUUGAUUUGCUUGUUUUUAUGUCGCUAAAAUCUUUCUUUGGGCAAACUAAAUGUGAAAGACACAUCGUUUAUGUGAUUGACAAAAGUAAAUAACAUUUCUUUGGUAAACAAGUCAUUAACAACAUAGAUUAGCAGAAAACCACAUGUUUUAUUCUCAUCCUUGCAUCAUAAGUUUGUGUACUAAACAAUUUAGAGAGUAUAAUAUUUUAAGGGCACUUGUGGCGACCGCCGUGGGUAGUCAUGUUGGCGUAGCAGGGGCAUGCAUCAUAGUUACCAGAAGUGCCGGGAGGAACACAGUCACAACGAGCACAACACGUCCCACAUGCCCUCUUGCACAGCCUUGGCCUUGACGAUAACUGGCAUCUUGCAGCACAUGCUCCGUCACAAUCUGAAUCAUGCGCGAACCAAUAACCCUCUGAUCAAUUACCAAUCAAGACUCCACAAAACAUAUCAUUCAUUUCAAUCAAAAACUUGAAUUACAAAAUGAGAUAAGCAAAUGCGGGGCAUAGUUAUAUGCAUACAUACCAAUCUUUUGUACCAUAGGACUCUCUGCCACGCUCUUGAUCACCUGAAAAAUCCAACACUCAGGUUUGUUCGGUGUUAGAGAAUAAUGACGAAAUCUGAUCAUUUCGUAACAAAAACGGAAAAGGAAAGCUAAAAGAAAAGAAGGAUCGCAUAAAACACGUCACCAUUAGGUCAUCGGAUUGAGCAAGCUGGAAGACAUGUAUAACGAGGGAAAUGAUGAGAAGCGAACCCGUCAGACUCUUGGAGAGAGCCAUCGAUUAAUUAAAAUACUUGUUAUUAUAGCUCCUGCAAUUUGAGGCCUUAACCAAUAUUCUUGCACGUGCUAUAUAUAUAUAGCAGGUGAGAUUCGUAGAAAGGGAACCGGAAAAUAAUGAUAAAUAGAGAGUAGGUGCAUUAUUGCACAAGUUAAAAUCAGAAAGAAUUGAAGGUGGUUGCAAGGAUGGGGUAUUUGGUGAAACUAUUUAAUCACAAAUGAAUUAAUAUUUAGCAGCGCACAAAUUAUGAUGAAAUCGUGCCUUCAAAUUAAUCAUUCUAUAAUACGAGAGAAUUAAUGAGUAGUUUUCCUUUUUCUUUAACCUUGGUGGAGGAUUCUUCCUUCCUGAUAGCUGAAGUAGCUUAUCGUUUUUGCCAAUUUUGGUUUGCACAUUUGGGUGUUUUACUUGUGAAGAGUCAUGCCGUGUUGGAAUCCUCAAUUCAAUUUACUUAGUUGAGGAACGUUGCAAUUUUUGAAAAUGAAGUACAUAUUAUCUGUGAUAGCUGCCACAUUAAUUAAUUUAUUAUGGUUCAUCCACGUCCUGAAAUUUACAAUUCUUCUAACAUUAACGCUUGUUUGUACUCUUGUAUGUGUUGGAUUUUAUUUAGCUAAUUUCAACAUUUUUCUCCAUAGGCUGCUCACGUGAACACACGCAACCACCCACCGGAUUAGGUUUGGUCAUUUUCACGGCUGCUUAAAGAAGCUGAUUCACAAAUUAAAGCAAAUCAAAUUUGAAACAUAUUUACCCCAAAGCAAAGCAACGCAUACGUGUCAAUAAAUUUCACAUAAGAAGGACCCGGGUCUCUACCUCCUAAGCCCAAGAAGGAGAGAGUAGUGGGCUGUUUAGCUGGAGCCGGACCUUUCCAAUUGUGAAACAGACCCACUACUAAAAGUAUCUCUCUCGCUUUAGCGUUUGGACAAAUUCGUUACUAUCGCAGAAGAUAAUUUUUGGAUCGAAUUAAUUUAACUAUGAGUCUUUAAGUACGAGGAUACUGAUAUAUUCUCUUUUCAACAUUUAAUUUGUUAACUUAAUCAAGUAGAGCGGUAAUUACAAAGACUACAUAUGUAUAUAGCAGGCAGGCAUAUUAGCCUUUAUUAUUUUCAGGACGGCUUUGUUAUUAUGGUCUUUCAGUUGUGCUAAACAGAUUGUAAUUGUCCACCGUCCCCGAGAUUCCUCAUAAUAUGCCUUCUUUUCUUUUCAAAGAAAGCAUUGUUCUGUAAAGAGAGAACUGUGAACAAAUUAACGAACAAACAUUAAUUUAAUUAAUUUACUCACAGAAAUGAGCAAUUAACAUCGCUUUAUUUAAUUUGACGAUAUAUAAAUAGAUGUAUCACUAGCCAGUUGCCACAAGCAGCGACGGACAGGUGCAUGUAUCAUGUAUCAUGCACAAUCAUUGUUUUAAGGGCACUUGCGUCUGCCAUGGUGGGUGGUCAUGGUGGCGUAGCAAGGGCAGACUUCAAGAUGGCCUGAAGUGCCCGGAGGAACACACUUGCAACGGGCACAGCAGGUUCCACAUGCCCUGUGACACAAGUUUGGCCUCGACGAUAACUGGCACCUGGCCUUGCAUGCAGCUCCACAGUCUGCAAAAAUUAAUUAAAAAAAAAUUUAAGAUGAUACGUAAUCCAGCCAAGCAGCAGUAUGUGUAUGUGCCGCGCGAUUGAUGAUAAAUUUAAUUACCAAUUGUUGGAGUGGGAUAACUGCUAGCUCCUUCGUUUGUGUUAACCUGAGCGAUUCAUGUUAUUUAGUUAAUGUGUAAAUAAUAACUCCCUCCAAAAUCAAUUGAUUGAGCGUCUAACAAUUAAUAAUUUGUUAUAUAGAAACUGAAACUUUACCAUCUGAUCAGCUGCAACAAGAUGGAGAACAAGAAUAAGUGAGAGGAGAACUGAAGCAAUGAAAGCCUUGGACGAUGAGAUGGCCAUGGCUAGCUUAAAUGCUAGAAACUAUUGAAAGUAGGGCUUUGAUCGGAGUAACUGAUACCUGGCUAUUUGAAAACCUAAAUUCUUCUUUUUACUUUUGGUGCAAAAAUGAGAGCAAAGAUGUGGGUAUUUAUAGCGUAAAUAUCAGAUGGAAAGACAGGAGAGCUUGCAAUAAAUUAUAAGAGAUAAGAAGGCCAGGACUGGGAAGGUGCAUGCGUGUUAAUUAAGGAGAUUCUCAUGGUUUAAUUUUGUACGCUUACUAAGCUUUUUCCAAAAAAGGAAAAAAGUCAUGGGCCUAUGGACAUAUAUGAUAUAAUCACUCGUCAUGAUUAUCUGGCGAAGAAAUGCCAUUUGGAAUCGUUCGGAGAUAAGCCAGCAUGUUUUAUUGCAUGGCAACUUUGCUUUUUCAUUUAUCUCUUGGCUUAAUUUUAAUUGAAGUGUACAGUACAAGAGAUAGGGAAAACAUUUUCCAUGAAACCUUAACACAGUCUCAUCGUUAACAUGGAUAACUCGGGCUUUAGUUGGACUACUUUGACUGUUUGACUCGAUUUCUUAAUUAGCUGUUUAAUUAAUUUACGAUAAAUUAUAUGUUGUCAGAGUCAGCCAAUAUCCUCCCACAUUUUCAUCAAUCUUCAUAGUAUUUAUCACAUUAAAUCAUCCAAGGAGAACUUGAAUACUUAAUUAGUAGUAAUCACCCAGCCGAUAAGUUUAAAAUGAAAAGAGAAUGGCAAUAAUUGAAGAGUUCGUAUUUAAUGUACUUUAAUUAUAGUCGCUGUGCCCAACUUCACAUCGCCUUUUCUGCAUUAUUUAGUACAUAUAUUAAAAUCCAUUUUCUUUUUUAUUUCUCGCACAACAAUAUAUUCCUUCUGCUACUUACCUAACCCAUCCAACUGGAGUCCAUACGACCAAACAAAUUAUUUAUGAAUUUAAUCAAAUCCAAACACGGGAAAUAAUUAAAGCUGGCUCCGCUACUUAUUACUCACAAAUUAAAAUUGGAAUAAUGCCUACCUAGUUCAUUAUCAUUUAUUAGUGCAGGCCUUUCUAGGGUUUUAGGUUUGUUGAGGGAUUCCGCGGUUUGCCAGCCAAGACUCAUAAUUAUUUGUAUAUCCUUAUGAUAAAGAAUAAUGAUAUGCUUAACAAAAUUUGUAUCUCAAAUAAUGUGUAUCACGUGGUAAUAGAUAAUUUCUUAUAUUAUAAGUUUGAUACUCAUUAAUUGAGGGAUGUUCACUCUAUUUCUCCACUCAAUUAUUUCAUAAUUGAAGAAGGACUUCAACUAACCCUCAUAAUACUUUUAUGAAAACUCAAAACUUUACUCUUACACAUUGUGAGUGCAAAAACUCUUACACUAGACCAAAGACCAAUUGAUAUAGUUAUUGAUGAACUUAAAACAUUAAAAUUACACAAUUGUUAUAACGUUUAAAAUGUACAAUUAAUCUUAUUAAUUAUAUAGUUUAUAUUUGUAAGAAUUAUUAUAGAUCAGUAAUUUCCUUUCUUAUAGUACAAGCUAAUAUUAGCGUUAUUACUAAUUAGUGACACACCAGGAAAACAAAAGCAGAUUGAUAGGAUAAAUGAACACCACAUAUCGUUCUAGGAAAGCUUAAGUGAACUUAAUUAGGUUACAUUCUAAUCAAAACAUUAUUAGAUUUCAUUCUAAUAUAAACAACUCAAUGAGAUUUUGAUAAUGCUUUGCAGCAAGAUUAGACGAUGUUAUAAUCCAAAUGACUCGAUAUAAGAGAUUUUGAUAGAUAAUUCCAAAAGAAAUUAUAAAAGAGGAGCUUUUAUUAAUAAAAAAUUAUUCUAAAACAAUGACAAUACCUUUUUAUUUAUAAUAAAGUAAACAUACUUUUCUAAGUUAACUUAAAUAAGAAAACUAUAUCACAAUAAUAUUGAAAAUAAAAAACCUAAAACAAAUAUCAUAAUUGCCUCAAAUUAAAAGGAAAAAUAAAAAAGGACCUAAAAUAAUAAACUCUAGAAUCUUCUAGACACGUUCUAUAUCAUUCUCCCCCUUUUAAAACAAACCCGUCCUCAAGUUCCUCCGGAUGAUAAACUUGAAGUGAAGCAUCAAUGCAUCCUAGAUCUUGAACUUGUAGCUUGUUUCAUCAAUUUUCCUUGAAGCUUGAAAAUCUUCAUGCUUUAUUUUCUUCUUUAUCUCGUUAGUCACUCUAAAAAUAGGUGAAAUUUUAUGAGAACGAAUCAUUUCUAUACCUCUCAAGUCUUUUGCUUAACUCACUCAAUGUACUCAAUUAUUAUCUUUUAUCUAGAAGGGCAAAUUCUCUUCUAAGAGUAAACUUCUUGUCUUCAAUGUGAGAGGCAUAAUCAUUUCAAUUAUUGUUGGGGUCUCUUCAACUUGACUUUACUGCACAAAUUCGAUGAUAUUAUUAAACUCAAUGUUUAAAUUAAUAAUAGAUUAUACCUCUUCUUUAAAAAUCUUAAAUCGAUCAAUAAUCUUAUCGCGAUCGUUAUCUUUUACUUUUAUUAAUUUUAAAAGAGAUGGUUCGACAUCAUUAUAGUAAAAAAAAAAAAACCUAUCUUCCAUCAAUUGCCUUAUAUCAAACUAUUCAUUUAUUUAUUUUAUCUUUGUUUAAUCCUUAAUUCUUGUAGUUGCUUCUACUAAUCUAAAGUAUCACCUAUCAAUUUAAAUGAUACAUGGGAGAUAGUAACUUUCGACGAGACAUUUUCAAGAAAAUCUUCCAUCAUCCAAAUUCAGUAAAACAUAUCACCAUGUUAUGAUCAAAAUCUGGGACAUCUUUUGAUUCAAGGAGACAAUGCAACACUUAAUAUUCUGUCUUUAUCAUUCUUUUUCAAAUUAAAAAUAAAAUCAAUAACAAAACUAUAAAUAUCCUUAACUCUUAGCUAUAGGUAUUGCCAGCGCGUCUGGUGGCCAUGAUUUAGAGUCAUGAGGGUUAGAUCUAGUAGAUAUGAUGGCAAGGAAUGCAACAAUGGCUACAGAUUGAUCAGAAUCGCAGUGGUUUGGUCAGAAAAGGAACUUGUGUUGGUGACGACUUAUGUUAGUUUGGCAGCGGUUCUCGAUUGAAUUUGGACGAUGGCACUUAGGAUCUGUUUAGUGGCUUGAGGGGAGGUGGACAAUGGUGACGACUGACAGAAACCUGUGGAGGUUUUACGGCAAUGAACCGGUGGAUCGCUUGCAGGUUUGGGUGAUUUGCUGCGGUUCUAGUGGCAGCUACUGACUCAAUUGUGUGAAGUGAGGUGAUGGUAGCGGUGACAAUGGUGGUAGGUGUGGGAUUUGUUGUGUUUUUUAAUUUUUAAUUUUUUUAUAUAAAUGGCGAUGGAGGAUCGUGGUGGAUGGAUAUGAUAGUCCAAAAAGUCGUGAUGCCACAGUUUUGCUUGAUACAAAAAAUGAUGUAGUGGGGUAGUUAAGAAAUGAAUUGAAAAGAUAAAUGAAAAUUAGAUAGGCUGGCUAAAGCAAAUACGAUUCGGUUACACUUUAAUUAAAGUCUGAUUAAAUUUUAUUAUAGCCUAAAUAAUUUAAGAAGAUUUAGGUAAGGUUUUAUAGUAAAAUUAGAUAAUGUUCUAAUUUAAAUGAUUUUGUGAGAGAAAUUUUGAUAAAUAAUCUUAAAAAGAAUUAUAAUGAUUUUUUUAUUAAUUAAAAGAUUAUCUUAAAAUAAUAACAAUACCUCCUUAUUGAUAGUUGGGUAAACUUACUUCUCCAAAUUAACUCAAAUAAGAAAAUUAAAACACAAUAAUAUUGAAAAUAAAAAACUUAAACUAAUUCCAUAAUUGACUUAAAUUAAAAAAGAAAAUAACAAAAAGACCAAAAAAAAAACUCCAGAAUCUCAAUUAAUAUGAAACAAAGUUAUGAAAGAGUCGUGUCUAUGUAAAAUACAUGCAGAAUCUGAAUUCUUUUGCACCAUUUUACUUUGCGUAGAUCAUUUUAUAUAGCACUCAAUUAUCAUAAAAGACUUUGGUAUUUACUUCUGAUAAUCACGAUCGUCAAAACAAAGCAACAAUAGCUUUUAGAUCAUCUCUUAUACUCAAUCAGUGUAGUUUUCACCGCACGAGACGAUGACUCUUUGAUUUUAGAACCACAACAUUUGCUUGAUUCUCCAAAUAGCAUAGAUUUAUCUUUACUUGUCCGUUGCUUUAAAUCUUUAUCUUUACAUUGUAUGUACAAUGUACGUGCAAUAAAAUAUGUUCUGUAUAAUUAAUUAUAACCAUUUUGUGUAAGUUCAUAAUAUCUUUCAACUCCGAAUACCUUAGAUUUUUCUUGAAAAAGAAAAAAGAAAAAAAGAAAGAAAAAUAAUGUUUUAUUACAAAUUAAGUUUAAAUACUGACACUGGGUUAGUGUACUUAUGCCGAGGAGAGGGCAUCCGUUCAAGUUUCAGUAGUGUAUGUUACAGUAAUAGAACAUAAUGAUAAUAUGAUAAAAGAUAUUUAAAUUGUGUUCUAAUAAAAAUAAUUUAUAGGUUAGUUUUAAACAUUUAGUAGAUUUUUAAUCGUAUUAUUGGUAUUUAAAAAAGAAAGUCAAUUAAAUAUCUUCCAAUUAUUAAGUACGAUUUUAUUUUAUUUUGUUUUAUUGGAGGAAUAAUGAGAGUACGAUCGAAGACAGGCAGCGGAAAUUGCCAACUUAUUUAGGUCACAGAGAUACUAAGCCACACGUGCCCUGAGGGGAAGUGAUUAGUUUUGAAGCUCAAAAGCUUUUGGAGACAGAGUGGGACUUGACGGAAAUGAUAAAACUCAUUACGAAGUAGACUUAGACCCACACAGGCCUCACAGCUGUGCAAAAGUGAACCACAGCUGUACUCUGCUCAUGCAGUUAAAUCAAUGCAAGAUGUUUAGGAUAAGCACAAGAGGUGGAACAGACAUCUAAAUAAUUAAUCUCAAUCAACUUUUAAUAUAGUUAAGACCUUAAUUAAUAUAUAUUGAAGUGGUAUAAUUUUUGAAUUACAAUUGUUAUAGAAAAAAUUAUAAUUAUAAAAUAAAAAUUAAUAUUAUAUAGUAAAUAAAAUUUUUAAAUAAUAAUUUUGAUAAAAUUAAUAAAAAUAUAAUAAAUUUUUCAUCAUAUAAAUAUAAAAUUAAAUUAAUUUAGUUUUUAAAUUAUAACCGUUAGUGUUUACAAAGCGUUUUAAUAUUGUCCAAUUUCAAUCCCAAACGAGAUCUAAGAUUAUAAAUAUUUGUUAAACACUAUAAUAUUGUGUGUUAUAAAAUUGGAAUAAGAAUGGACUGAAAUUGUAAUGGAGAAUGAGAAUCAGAAUAAGUUAUUUACUUAAACUGUAGGAAUUGGAAUCCGAAUAAGUUGAAUUACCAUUAAUGUGUUUAUUUUAUCUUAGAAUUGAAAUCAAAAUAAAUUAAAUUGUUACAAAUUAUUAAAAAGUCCUCAAUAAUAAUGACAAUAAUAUUCUAAAAUUAAUAUUUAGGUAAUUUAAGAAUAAUAAUAAAAUUCACAAGUCCCUUAGAAAUCAAACUAUCAUUUUCCAUUCUCAAAUUUGAGUAGGAUCCACAAUUUUAAUUUUAAUUAUUUCUUUUAUUUUAUAAAAUAAACGUUAUCAAUAAUUCUGAUUUAUUAAUUUGUGAAAUAAAAAUUGCCUAAAAUUAUAUGGCUCAACUAGACACCGAUUCGAAAAUGUAGACCUUAAACCUUUGAAGCAGUUUUUAAGUAGAUGUGAAAAUCAAAUGAAAUUUUUGCUUCAGUUUGGUUUCAUCGUUUACCAUCUUAUCUCCACAAAAAGUCUACUUAUAGUUAUGCAACAACGUAAUGUUUCCGAGCCAUCUUUUUUAAUAUUUACCAAGGCGGCCAAUUAAAAAUUGACGUGGGAAUUAGAAGUGUUACCAGUCCCAAAAAAUCCUCAUCAAACCCAUUUAUUUAAAAAUUAAAAUACCCUACUAGUAAUUCACAAAAUAAUAUAUUAUUUCUUAACUCACAUAUUUUGAUUAAAAAAAAAAAAAAAAAACUCCGUCUACGCCCAUACUUAAGUCUUAACUCAUCCCUCUUCCCACUUUCUCUCUUUUCUUUUUCUCAGUUUCAUUUUUUUUGUUCAUACGAAUAAUUUGUUCACCACAAAUAAUCAACCUCUCACAUUCUCGAUUUAACAUCCCAUAUGUUUUUCUCGUUCACUUGCUCUUGAAAAGACAAGAAAAAAACAAAUUAGCAUUGUAAAUAUCUACGAAUUGCACUAAUCCUGUAUUUUCAUACGGAGAUUAAUUAAUGAUAAUAUUAUAUUUGUUAGAGAACUAGUUUUCUUCUUUUCUUCGUCUUCUUUAUGUUUCCUCCCUUUUCCUGGCGCCAACACCCACAGAAAAGUUUGUGACAGCAUAUGAACAUUCAAACAUGACCAAAAAUAGAAUAAAAUCCAAUAUUAAACCUAUGAAGAAAAAUGGAAGGAAAAAACUGUAAUUAUCAAAUUUUAAGCAUGAUAAUAUGAUGCGUUGAGAUUUCAUCUUACUUAAGAAGAGAUGAAGAAGAAACUUUAAUAAGAAUUGAGAAACCUUACUAAGUAUUCCACUUAAUUUAUCCUGAUGAAGGAAAAAUGUGAAGAGACAAAAAGUUAGGAAUGGAUAAUGAAUUAUUCAUUUGAUUUUAUUUGUUUUUGUUUCAAAAUUAUACGAAUGAUCGAUGCUGUACUGAUACAAGCGCGAACUGAUGGCCAUCCUCAAAGAGAAAGAUAAUCGGCCAAACUUGAAGAUUUUUAAUAAAGUGAUUUCUCUGAAUCUUCUGUUUUCAUUGUCGUUUUAUGCAAAUUUUGAAGAGGGACAAAUUAACUGAAACUAAAUCAAAGGGAUUUACGAGCGGUGACGAUAGCAGUACAGCAAACCACUCGGCAACUAAUUAAUCCUUUAUUGUUGUUAGAAGAUAACAAACACGACACAAAGUAGAAAAUUUAAAAGGAGAAGAAGCCUCUUAUUAUUAUUCUCUGGAAACUUAUGUAUCCACAAUAAGUAACAUGAAAUGGAUUUAUUUAUUUAUUCAUGGGAAUAUGGAUCAACUCUGUUUUUCUGGCCACAGGCAACACACGCACACGCACACGCACAUAUUUAUACAUAGAGAGAGAGAGAAUAGAAGCUCCAAAAAAAUUAAUUAAGAAGUAGACGACGUCGUUUCAACUUAAAAUAUUUCAAGGGCACUUGCGUCUGCCGUGGUGGGUGGUCAUAUUGGCGUAGCAAGGGCAGACCUCAGUGUUGCCUGCAGUGCCUGGAGGAACACAAUUGCAGCGGGCGCAGCAG
rnacentral:lncRNA from 1 species